AAGAAGAAAACAUUCACGACAGUUGCAGCGGCUUUCUCCGUUUCUGAUUCUCACAUUACUACCCAUGUGUGUACGUGAGUAAAUGCAGUAGAAUAGAUAGAGCUGUAAAAGCUGAGUGUGUUCAAACACCAACUUCACUUCAAAGCAGACUUCCACCAGAUCCGUGUCCGGUCUGUCUCUGAUCCGCUGCAGU